rnacentral:rRNA from 1 species
CUGCAAGUCGAACGCUCACCUUCGGGUGGGAGUGGCAGACGGGUGAGUAACACGUGGGAACGUACCCUUUGGUUCGGGACAACUCUGGGAAACUGGAGCUAAUACCGGAUACGCCCUUUUGGGGAAAGGUUUACUGCCGAAGGAUCGGCCCGCGUCUGAUUAGCUAGUUGGUGGGGUAACGGCCUACCAAGGCGACGAUCAGUAGCUGGUCUGAGAGGAUGAUCAGCCACACUGGGACUGAGACACGGCCCAGACUCCUACGGGAGGCAGCAGUGGGGAAUAUUGGAUAAUGGGCGCAAGCCUGAUCCAGCCAUGCCGCGUGAGUGAUGAAGGCCUUAGGGUUGUAAAGCUCUUUUAUCCGGGACGAUAAUGACGGUACCGGAGGAAUAAGCCCCGGCUAACUUCGUGCCAGCAGCCGCGGUAAUACGAAGGGGGCUAGCGUUGCUCGGAAUCACUGGGCGUAAAGGGCGCGUAGGCGGCGUUUUAAGUCGGGGGUGAAAGCCUGUGGCUCAACCACAGAAUGGCCUUCGAUACUGGGACGCUUGAGUCUGGUAGAGGUUGGUGGAACUGCGAGUGUAGAGGUGAAAUUCGUAGAUAUUCGCAAGAACACCGGUGGCGA